GGCUUUGUGACUUCAGACAAGUUACCUGGUUUCCAGAGAUCUGAAUUUCCUUGCUUGUAAAAUGUAAAGAGUGGUACCUGUGUGAUAGAGAUAUUGUGAGGAUUAAAUAUGCCAGGUUAAUAGUAAAUGGCAAUUUCUUAUUCAGUAGAAGUAGGGUUGCCUGAUAAAAUACAGGAUACUCUGUUAAAUUUGAAUUUUAGAUAAGCAAAAAAUAGGUGAGUUUUUUUUUGUGUUUUGUUUUGUUUUGUUUGGUAGACCAAACAAAACCCACAGCAUAUGGAGAUUCCCAGGCUAGGGGUUGAAUCAGAGCUGUAGACACUGGCCUAUGCCACAGCCAUAGCAACUUGGGAUCCGAGCUUCGUCUAUAGCCUACACCACAGCUCACGGCAAUGCCGGAUCCUUAACCCACUGAGUGAGGCCAGGGAUCAAACCUCCAUCCUCACGGAUACUGGUCAGAUUCGUUUCUGCUGAGCCACCAUGGGAACUCCAACAAGUAAUUUUUUAGUAUGAGUAUGCCUCAUGCGAUAUUUGGAACAUAUUUAGAUCUACUGCAUAAAAUGUAUUUGUUUAUCUUAAAUUUGAAUUUAGAAGUUCCCCUUGUGGCGCAGUGGAAACAAAUCCGACUAGGAACCAUGAGGUUGCGGGCUCAAUCCCUGGCCUCUCUCAGUGGGUUAAGGAUCCGGCGUGGGCGUGAACCAUGGUGUAGGUUGCAGACACGGCUCUGAUUCAACCCCUAGCCUGGGAACCUCCAUAUGCGGCCCUAAACAGAAAAAAAGAAAAAAGAAAAAAAAAAAGGAAAGAAGUUUGAAUUUUGAAUUUAACUGGGUGUCCUAUAUUUUUAUUUUUAUUUAAAUAUGGCAAUCUGAAAUGGGAAACUCUGGCACAAAGUCUCUGGCUAGAGACUUUAGUCCAAGACUUUACAUUUCCAGUAUCUAGAAAAAUUAAAAUAGGCAAGCUUCUAAAUUUUUGAAUAAGUAGCAAAUCUGAGCAAAGUUAUAGGUUUUUUUUUUUUUUUUUUAAGAUAGGCCUUGGCCAUUUCCAUUCUCCACUGCCUUAAACACAGUGCUUUGCACAUAGUACACAUUCAAUAAAUCUUACUGAGUUAAGUGCUUUAAAAUAUUACAAAAUGUGAGUCUUUAGGAAAGAAAGCAUGAAGCCAGAGAUGAAACUGGUAAUGUAGUCUAAUGGCUAUGUUUCUGCCUUCUUCCCUUUCCUUUCUUCUCCCUGUCCCCAGUGAAAGAAGUCAGCCCCCUCCUUUCUUCUCUGAGUGGGGAAAGUGAGUUUGACCACUUACAAGUAGGUUUGGGGAUUGAAGGAAGGUAAGAGGAACUAAAAGGAAGUGUUUUGCUCACUGUCCUCUGUUUUGUUUGUGGUGGUUAGAAAGUGUGCUGCAGAAGGAAGGCCUGAGGACACGUGCAGUGUCCCAAGCCACAUGAUAGGUGCCACCCUACGUGCCAAGGCUGGACCAAGGUGAGCUGCUCUGUGCCGCUGGUGAGCUCUCAGGGGUGCAGGACAGUAGCCACACUUGCGCUCUCCCUGCUUCCGCCACUCUGCUCCUCCCACUUCCCCCAGGAAGUCCUCACCAGGCUGAGCCCAGCACCGAGUGGAGUGGGCAGUGGCAGGCCCAGCCACUCUGCCCGUUGUUGGCCUUUGGCCUGGCCCUCACACCACAGGCACAGCUGUGUCAGCUCCCAGCAGGUGUGCUGUAUCAACUCCAUUGUGACUAAACAACCAGAAAAUGUAACUGAUGACAUUUGUCAGAAGGAGAUCAUCUCUAAGACAAACUUGGCUGCCACUGGGGACUAAAAACAGAGACUUUUGUUCAAGGAUCUUUAUCAUAUAACAGCAAAAUACAUGAACUUAUUUUCCAACAAGAAGAAAACAAUUGAACAAUUAAUGUUAUAGUACUUAUAUAUCAAUAUAAUGCGACCAAACACUUUUUUGGAGAAUUUUUAAUGAUUUGGAAUAAUACUCAUGACAUAGUAUUUAUUUUUUUAAGGCAGGGUACAAAGCAAUAUAAACAGGACAAUUCCAAAUUUGUUAAAAAGCAGAAUAAAUCAGAAAAACAGAAUGAGAGAGACUCCAGAAUAUUAGUAGAACUUAUCUUUGAUUUAUGCAUUUUUAAUUUUUUUCUGUCAUAUGUUAUACAAUUUUCAGAUUUCCUAUAUUGAACACUAUUACUCUUAUAAUAAUGACAACAUAGGUGAUUACAAGAAGGUAGUGGAAGUUAUUGAGAUUAAUGAUUUGUAAUCCAUCCUUGUCACAUAGAAGAUAUAGCAUAUAGCUCUUGGCUUCUCUGGUUAGAGUUGAAGGACCUUGGGAAAGACUCUUGACAACUCUGACCCUCAGUUUUGCAUCCUUAAACUGGAAAUUGAAUGAGAUGAUAGAGGGAGCUGGACUUCAUGCACUUGCUACAAUGACUGAGAUGAUGUAUGUAAAAUUUUGCUUGGCCCAGUACUUCAUAAAGAGGAAACAUUCCAUCAACUACAAUUAUCAUUAAAGAGCAGAAUAGAUGAGUAGUUACCUAUUUCCAGCCCUGGCUUCUUUAAGCUUUUCUUCCUCCCCUCCUUCCUUCCUUUAGGUUAAAAAAAAAAAAAAAUAGCUGAUAUUUGGCAAUUUCAUACAAUUUGACCUUACUUAUUGUUUCAACCCAUCUCAAAAAUUUGAGGCAAGGAAGUGAACUCCAGAUCCCAAUGGGAAAUGGAUUCUCAAUGACAAAAAGACCAAGGAAGGAUAGUGUGAUCCUUUGGGAGCAGGAGAAAAGGACCGUGCACUUGACUGUCAAAGACAGAGUGAUUCUGGACCUGGUGUCUGUACCAAGGAGGGUUGGCCAGUACAUGGGCUUUGGGUUUUGGUACAUCCCAGAGAGGCCCAAGGAAAAGCCCAGGUAUCAGAUCUGAGCAGGAGUCGGGGGGGAUCUCUUUCUUGGUUGGGCCAUCUCACUGCUGAGACCUGGAGGGCAAGAGGAAAGGAAAUGAAUGUGAGCUGUAAUGUCAGGGAUUCAGGUAAAUGUUUCAUUUGAAACUUUAAAAUUGUGUUCUGGGCAGACAGAAAUUCCAGUGGUAAAAAUAGUAUCAGCAGAAUCCCUUCAGAAUAAAACCGAAAAGGAAGCUCUUCUAUGAAUAUCUGUGCAAAGGCCACCUGAGCAAGUUCUGAUCAUGACCAUGGCUGUGUUCACCAAGUGGACGUAACUCUCCCGUUGCCCUCACAGUUCCCGUCCAUGUGGCCCAAAGCUCCAGAGACUGUUUCUCAUACAUGCCCCACUGAGGGAAAUCCCUCAAGAAUUUUCUAAAAAGCAGGGUUUUGGAGUGGCUCAAAAUAUAAACAAGCAAUACCAAAUGUUUUUAAAAUCUAAAAUCGAGGCUAAAUAUUGCUUUAUUAAGUUUUUAUGGUGUAAGUCUGAGCAAGGUGCCAUGCUUUGUGUAAGUCUUAAACACUCUUGGUGAGCUCGGUGCUUCCAUUAUUUCCAUUUUAGAAACGAAUGGAAACACAAGGUAGUUUUGUUUUGUUUUGUUUUUUUCUCUUUUGGCCUGCAGAAGCAUAUGGAGUUCCCAGACCAAAGAUCAAAUCCAAGCCGAAAUUGCAACCUAUACCACAGCUGCAGCAAUGCCUGAUUCUUAACCCACUGUGCCUAUCUGGAAUUAAACCUGAGUCACAGCGCUCCCAAGACACCACUGAUGUUCCUUUGUGCCACAUCAGGAACUCCAAUAGUUUUGUUUUUUCACUCCUUUGUCUCAGUACCUACAAUGGUCAGCUGGCAUUUAGUAGGUGCUCACUGAGCAACUAUUUGUGGAAUCGAUGAAUGAAGUUAAGCGAUAUGCAUAAGCCCCACAGCUGGUAAGGGGUGGAGCUAGGGUCACACCCAGCCUGGCCCGACUCCAGAGACUGAGUUCUCAACUUCUGUCUCUGUUUACCUCUUUUCCACUGACAGCUUAAGUCUGGGAAAGAAGACAAGGGCCUGCUGGUGGAGGUACUUCCUUGCAUGGCUUUUACAGCUGGCAUGUCCUUGGGAAUGACUAGACACACAGUGAUUUCUCCAGGGUCAGUGUUUAGACAUCAUUAAUGAUCGAGGGCUCCUCUAGUUUGGGAAUAUUUUUACAUACAGCUGCAAAAGCCAAAGGCUUUUAUAUAAUUCUCCAGGCUUUCUGUAAUGUAAAAUGAUAAAUUAGAGGCUACUUACCCAAAAUCUCUAGAUUCAGGCAAGUGUAUUCCUAGUAUCACUUAGCAAUUUCUUGGGAGCUUUAAGAGUCUCUUGAAGACAGGCAGUUGAAGAAGUUCUCCCAAAGAAAUGAACACAAUUAGGGCUUGGAAGGUAAAUGCAAUUCCUACACCUACGGAUUGCUCUGUGUGAUUAGUAUCGGGCACCCUGUAUUGGUUAAAAAUGUUCAUUAUCUGGAAAAUAACUUAAAAAUGCAGGAUGGACGACUUCAACUUAGAUAAUUGUUGGAUGGAGAUGGAGUGCUCUUCGAAUGGGUCUGCAUGGGGUGGGGUGGGGAGGAGCAUCCUCCCGUAAGUGCUGGAAAGGCUUUCAGAACCCACAGGCAGCAAAAACCUAAGAGGAGGAAGCAUGACAUCUGGAAUCCAUAGUCUUGAGCUUCAGCUCUGGCUCCGUCACUUACUAGCUAGGUGGCCUUAGGCAAAAAUCACUUUGUGUCUCUGCAGUCAGUUUUGUCAUCUGUAAAAGUGGCAAUGGCCAUGCCUAACUUUUAGUUUGUAAGGAUCCAAUGAGAUGACUGAGAAUGCCUUGUAAAUGCUCUGUAAGUCUCAGAAUCAUCAUCAUUAUGAUGAUCAGCAUUACUAAACCAAGUUUAAAAGGAUUCAAAGAGGCACAAGAUAUGGUCUUUCCAACCAGUUUUAUAGACUCUGAAGUUAAUAAAAUAUUGAGGGUCUCUUUGAGGAAGAGAAUACCAAAUUAUAGGAAUUCCCUGGUGGCCUAGCAGUUAAACAUCUGGCAUUGUCACUGCUGUGGUGUGAAUUCGAUCCCUGGCCUGGGAACUUCUGCAUGCCACGUGCACAGCCAAAAAUAAUAAUAAUAAUAACAAAUAAUAAAAAUAAAAUUGGAAAUGCAGCUAAUGUAACUGAGGAAGUACUUUAAAAAAAAAAAA
ensembl:lncRNA